AGGCUCCCUGCCCGACCGGCUCGGGGACGGGACUGGGACCGCUUCCCGACCCGGACCCGUGGGCCCGUGUUCGGUUCGGCCUCGCGGGACCGUUUCUCGGUCUGACCCGCUCGAGCGCCGACCUGGACUCGGGGGCGGUCACCCCAGCGCCGAGCGAGCGGCCGGUUCUCCGGAAACGCGUUCAGUCCAUGGAGAAGUGUCCUGGGUGAGGAUUAGCAACAACUAAGACGUUGGAAGGACGGGCAGCUCUCUGUUCAGCCGAUCAGAAGGUGACUUAGGAAGAACGGGAAGAGCCACUGCCUUGGGGGAUAUAAGAUCCCUGUCAUUGAGGAUCCGGGUGCGACCUUAGACCAGUUCGAUGCCAUUGACUUUUCUGACAGUGAAAUCCGCAAACUGGAGGCUUCCCUCGCGGAGGAGACUGAAGACCCUCCUGGUGAACAACAACCGGACAUGAACGCCAUAGCGAACGCGUCGACGCUGGCGGAGGUGGAGCGGCGGACGGGCCUGCUGCAGUCGGGCCAGAUCCCCGGCAGGGAGCGCCGAGCAGGCCCCAGCAACGACAGGGAGGAGGAGAUGGAGGAAGACACCGUCGCCAACGGCUCCUGAGUGUCCGCGGGGCCGGUGUCCACGGGGCGUGGGGCCCGGCCGCCGGGGACAAAGUCCUGCCUUGAACGUGGAAUAUUGGCGUCAAGCUUCGCUGGGGGGCUCCGACGGCUGCAGUGGUUUCUACUUCACAUUCUGAGAUCUCACCGCCUGAUUCUCACAGUGGAAUAGACACCCACUGCCUGCUGCCUGGGCUGUGCGCCCAGUGGGUGUGUACGCCUUUAAGCUGGACCCGCAGCUAUAUCCAUCCUCGUUUCUGACCAGGCCUCCGCCUGUAAAACGUUUGGAUGUUUAAACGUUAAUAAAACUGGUGUGAACGGCA